rnacentral:lncRNA from 1 species
GUCUUUUCCUAUUUUUAGGCUGAGACGCUUACCUCAUUUUCUCUUUAAGGGAAAUUGAUGGUUUUCAUAGGUGGUUUCUUACCACCUAGCAACUUCUUUGACUCCUGAGACAAGCACACUGGAUACAAAAGGAAGGCCCCAGAAGAGUUCUUUUGGAGCAGAACAUGAUGCCAAUACUAUGCUUGUUUUCCCCCUUCGUUCUUUUAUUAACUUCUCAAAUUACGGAACAGUAGACCUGCUAAAAUUGCUACUUUUAUGUUUUGUAGCUUUGGCUUAUCAAAUGCUUCUUUCUGUUACAGUCCUUGAUACAUUGUUGAGGUUUCAUUUGGGCUUCUUUGCUCCUACCAGAAACCUUCCAAACAACUUCGCAUCACAGAUAUGUUUCAAGAGACUAGAUACAGAAAGUAAACUUAGGAUAAUUCUUUUUGGGACUUGAGCCAAAACCAAAGGAAAGGCCUUGACCGCAAUACAUCCUUUUCCUUUAAAUUUUUUCACAUGGAUGUGUCUUAUUUUUGUAAGUCUAAGUCACUGCUUUUCCUUGGAUAUAUUUAAAAACUGGCUGAUUCUCCCAUAUUCUUUGUAGGACCAGCUCGUCCUUCCUCACCAGAAGGUUGGAAUGGGGGAGGGCAUAUCUGUAAGUCAAGACACAGCAUUUCACACACUGGCUCAGCAUGGCAGCUGUUGGGGGUAGCUAUUGAAGUAUCUUCAAACUUUGUCAGAAUUGCCAGAGGGGAAAGACUCCCGGCCCUCUCCCUGCCCUUUCUAGUUGGCUGCUUAGAAAGAUGUUACUUAGAACUAAUUUUCAUUUUACAGAGAAUUCGCAUCCCACAAGGCUGAUAAAGAGGCAUGGAACACAGUCAAGGGAGAGAUAGCCUUCCACUGAAAACCAGCUGUAUUGGUGCUCUGUUCCUGUUGCCGGUGUUUGGAUGACAGAUGUUAACGACAAUUUCCUUCCUCCAUCAUCAUCAUCAUCAUCAUCAUCAUCAUCAUCAUCAUCAUCAUCAUCAUCAUCAUCCAGGAUGACUCCCUAUGAAAUCAAAAUGGAUCCGCAGAGGGUACUUGGAAUUUGUGGUGGAGGAAACUGUCCACUCAGCCCAUUGAUAUGAGAAGAAAUCUUUCCUUGUUGGCAAGGUGUGCAAGAACGGAAAGUGUGAGAAAGAAAGCCCCAGUGUAGUGGUUUGAAUGUAAUUGGCUGCCCUGGGCCCAUGAGGAGAGGCACCAUUAGGAGGUAUGGCCUUGUUGGAGUGGGUGUGGCCUUAUUGGUGUGGGUGUGGCCUUGAAGUGGGUGUGGCCUUGUUGGAAUAGGUGUGGCUUUGGAGGAAGAGUGUCAUGGUGGAGGCAGGCCUUGAGUUCUUAUAUAUGCUUAUGCCACACCCAGUGGGACAGUCUCCUGCUGCUGCCUGUGGAUCAAGACGUAGAACUCUCUCAGAUCUUCUAGCACCAUGUCUGCCUGCACUGCCAUGCUUGAUAAUGGACUAAACCUCUGAACUAUAAGCCAGAGCCAAUUAAAUGUCUUCAUUAUAAGAGUUGCUUUGGUCAUGGUGUCUCUUCACAGCAAUGGGGACCCCAACUAAGACACCCAACAAGGAUGGAAAGUCAUCGGCACCCCUCGGGUCACUGGGGGGGUAAAAGAGAUGGCAGCUUCCUCUUAUCUAAUAGUAGCUGUAGCAGUGUCAAAGAUGGCAGGACUGAGCUCAUCAGUUUUACUUCAGAUGUGAGGGGGUAGGCUUCAUAUUGGCGCCCUCAGGCGUUAUUCUAGUUGAUUCAACUUCCCACAUGUUUUUGCCGAUUUCAUAUCUCUUGUCUUUCUUCCCUAAAAGGAAGACGUAAAUUGUCCUCAUACCGGUCUCCAUCGUGUAGUAAAUGACAUUGUUGCCAUUCAUGUUCUCAAGCUUGGGGGUCCUUUCAUUUUCUUCAUAUACACUCCUGGGCCCUACCCCACCUGCAAACAGCUAAUUGAGCCAUUGGUUAUUCGACCUCCAUAAUAAAUUCCAUAUGUGUCCUUGGGAGUUUCUCUGACUGGACCUUGGGCUUUUUCUUUCACAAGUAUUCACCCAGCAGUUAAAACAAAAUUCUCAAAAUUUAAGUCCCUAGUCACACUUAACGAGUCCAUAUGUGGCUUAAGUUUUCUGCCUGCUGAGAGCUUGUGUCCCCUCAGGGUAUUAAUAUAUAUCACUAACAAACCAAGUCUGGGUUCCAAUCUAGAUUGAAAUGCAGCUUUGGUCAUUUAAGAGAGUGCCUUCUAUUGUGUGUGACCUAUGCCUGAAACAAUUAGUAUGGGUGUCCAAAGGGAACAUAAUACUGUUGUGGGGUACCAACAAGAGACGACAUCCUGAAUGAUACUUUCAUCAUGAAGUGAGUUGUGCUAAGGUCUUGGGCCUACCAAGGUCUGGGGCCCUGUUAUAAUAGAAAGUAGGCCAAUAGAAAAAUAAAAAAAAUGAAAUUAGUUUACAAUAGUAGAAAGAAAAUGUGGUCAUCACAUUUAUUUAUUUACCAUUUAUUCUUCUUGAGAGCUGAAUUUGUUUGGAAUUUCCUAAUUAGACUUAAAGUGACAUAUAUUGGAUUAAACAGCUUUUUCCUUUGUUUCAUGACAGAAAUGGAGGUGUUUUGCAUUAUUGCUAUAUAUCUGGGGGAUUGAAAUAUAAUGAAGUAGAAAUAUUUCUGAUAACAAAUUAAAGAUCCAAAGUCAUAAAAAAA